rnacentral:rRNA from 1 species
GUACGCUAUUCAGAGUUUGAUCCUGGCUCAGGACGAACGCUGGCGGCGUGCCUAACACAUGCAAGUCGAACGGAGAUUAUGUGGAAUGAAGCUUCGGCCGAAUGAAAUAUAAUCUUAGUGGCGGACGGGUGAGUAACGCGUGAGGAACCUGCCCUUAAGAGGGGGACAACAGUUGGAAACGACUGCUAAUACCGCAUAACAUAUCUGAGUGGCAUCGCUUAGAUAUCAAAGGAGCAAUCCGCUUAAGGAUGGCCUCGCGUCUGAUUAGAUAGUUGGUGAGGUAACGGCUCACCAAGUCGACGAUCAGUAGCCGGACUGAGAGGUUGAACGGCCACAUUGGGACUGAGACACGGCCCAG